rnacentral:rRNA from 1 species
AGAGUGAACGCUGGCGGUAGGCCUAACACAUGCAAGUCGAACGGCAGCACAGUGGUAGCAAUACCAUGGGCGGCGAGUGGCGGACGGGUGAGGAAUACAUCGGAAUCUACCUUUUCGUGGGGGAUAACGUAGGGAAACUUACGCUAAUACCGCAUACGCCCUUUGGGGAAGCCGGGAUCGCAAGACCUGGCGCGGAUAGAUGAGCCGUAUGUCGGAUUAGCUAGUUGGUGAGGUAUGGCUCACCAAGGCGACGAUCCGUAGCUGGUCUGAGAGGAUGACUCGAGCCACACUCGGAACUCGGAAGACCGACCGGU